rnacentral:rRNA from 1 species
CUUGGAGGUUGUGCCCUUGAGGCGUGGCUUCCGGAGCUAACGUGUUAAGUCGACCGCCUGGGGAGUACGGCCGCAAGGUUAAAACUCAAAUGAAUUGACGGGGGCCCGCACAAGCGGUGGAGCAUGUGGUUUAAUUCGAUGCAACGCGAAGAACCUUACCUGGUCUUGACAUCCACGGAAGUUUUCAGAGAUGAGAAUGUGCCUUCGGGAACCGUGAGACAGGUGCUGCAUGGCUGUCGUCAGCUCGUGUUGUGAAAUGUUGGGUUAAGUCCCGCAACGAGCGCAACCCUUAUCCUUUGUUGCCAGCGGUCCGGCCGGGAACUCAAAGGAGACUGCCAGUGAUAAACUGGAGGAAGGUGGGGAUGACGUCAAGUCAUCAUGGCCCUUACGACCAGGGCUACACACGUGCUACAAUGGCGCAUACAAAGAGAAGCGACCUCGCGAGAGCAAGCGGACCUCAUAAAGUGCGUCGUAGUCCGGAUUGGAGUCUGCAACUCGACUCCAUGAAGUCGGAAUCGCUAGUAAUCGUGGAUCAGAAUGCCACGGUGAAUACGUUCCCGGGCCUUGUACACACCGCCCGUCACACCAUGGGAGUGGGUUGCAAAAGAAGUAGGUAGCUUAACCUUCGGGAGGGCGCUUACCACUUUGUGAUUCAUGACUGGGGUGAAGUCGUAACAAGGUAACCGUAGGGGAACCUGCGGUUG